UACGUAGGGGGCUAGCGUUAUCCGGAAUUACUGGGCGUAAAGGGUGCGUAGGUGGUUUCUUAAGUCAGAGGUGAAAGGCUACGGCUCAAACCGUAGUAAGCCUUUGAAACUGAGAAACUUGAGUGCAGGAGAGGAGAGUGGAAUUCCUAGUGUAGCGGUGAAAUGCGUAGAUAUUAGGAGGAAUACCAGUUGUGAAGGCGGCUCUCUGGACUGUAACUGACACUGAGGCACGAAAGCGUGGGGAGCAAACAGGAUUAGAUACCCGGGUAGUCCCUGAGCGGG
rnacentral:rRNA from 1 species